GAUGAACGCUGGCGGCGUGCCUAAUACAUGCAAGUCGAGCGGAGGGAAUAGCGAUAUUUUCUCAGCGGCGAACGGGUGAGUAACGCGUUGGUGACCUGCCUCGAAGCGAGGGAUAACAGUUCGAAAGGACUGCUAAUACCGCAUGUGAUUGUUGAGAUUAGAAGCUUGACAAUGAAAGGAGCAAUUCACUUCGAGAGGGGCCUGCGUCCCAUCAGCUAGUUGGUAAGGUAAAGGCUUACCAAGGCGAUGACGGGUAGGGGACCUGAGAGGGUGGCCCCCCACAAUGGAACUGAAACACGGUCCAUACACCUACGGGUGGCAGCAGUAGGGAAUAUUGCAUAAUGGGCGAAAGCCUGAUGCAGCAACGCCGCGUGUGCGAUGAAGGCCUUCGGUCGUAAAGACACUUUAGUAGAGGAUGAGGAAGGACAGUACUCUCUGAAU
rnacentral:rRNA from 1 species